rnacentral:rRNA from 1 species
GGUGAGUAACACGUGGGCAACCUACCUGUAAGACUGGGAUAACUUACGGAAACGUGAGCUAAUACCGGAUAGUUUCACUUCUCGCAUGANAAGUGAAGGAAAGAUGGCUUUUAGCUAUCACUUACAGAUGGGCCCGCGGCGCAUUAGCUAGUUGGUGGGGUAAAGGCCUACCAAGGCGACGAUGCGUAGCCGACCUGAGAGGGUGAUCGGCCACACUGGGACUGAGACACGGCCCAGACUCCUACGGGAGGCAGCAGUAGGGAAUCUUCCGCAAUGGACGAAAGUCUGACGGAGCAACGCCGCGUGAGCGAAGAAGGUCUUCGGAUCGUAAAGCUCUGUUGUUAGGGAAGAACAAGUACCGGAGUAACUGUCGGNNCCUUGACGGUACCUAACCAGAAAGCCACGGCUAACUACGUGCCAGCAGCCGCGGUAAUACGUAGGUGGCAAGCGUUGUCCGGAAUUAUUGGGCGUAAAGCGCGCGCAGGCGGUCCUUUAAGUCUGAUGUGAAAUCUCGCGGCUCAACCGCGAGCGGCCAUUGGAAACUGGGGAACUUGAGUGCAGGAGAGGGGAGCGGAAUUCCACGUGUAGCGGUGAAAUGCGUAGAGAUGUGGAGGAACACCAGUGGCGAANGCGGCUCUCUGGCCUGUAACUGACGCUGANGCGCGAAAGCGUGGGGAGCGAACAGGAUUAGAUACCCUGGUAGUCCACGCC